rnacentral:rRNA from 1 species
UACGAAGGGGGCUAGCGUUGCUCGGAAUCACUGGGCAUAAAGCGCACGUAGGCGGCUUUUUAAGUCAGGGGUGAAAUCCUGGAGCUCAACUCCAGAACUGCCUUUGAUACUGAGAAGCUUGAGUCCGGGAGAGGUGAGUGGAACUGCGAGUGUAGAGGUGAAAUUCGUAGAUAUUCGCAAGAACACCAGUGGCGAAGGCGGCUCACUGGCCCGGUACUGACGCUGAGGCACGAAAGCGUGGGGAGCAAACAGG